AUUCGCGGCCAACCGGGGGCCGCUAUGCUGUUUGUGGGCUUGGAGCCACGUCAGAAUCAAAUGGCGCCGCUAGGACCCAGGUGUCAACAAAGAAACCCAGGAGUUGCAAAUAAGAAAAGCGUUAUCUGGAAGUCCUAGAAAAUGCAAUACUGGAGACACGGAUUCAGGAUGGCUCCAACUCUUCCCUCUCCAGCUCCACUCCUCACUCAACAGGACCCCUUCCAGCCUGGCCCUCCUCUGUGGUUCCCCGUAGAGGCAAGAAGCUGCUCCAUGACUUCUCCCUAUCAUAAGGGACACAGCAUUUCAUGAACUCAUAAUAAUGCAAGCA
rnacentral:lncRNA from 1 species